rnacentral:sRNA from 1 species
UAGUUUACCGAGUCGUGCAGGAUGAAGAACCGUAGAGGUUCGAGCAUCGCGUAGCGAUACGACAACGCGCAGCGUUGCCCGCAGGGUGAGGCCACAGGCCGAAUCAAUCCUGCACGACCCACCC